AUUGAACGCUGGCGGCAGGCCUAACACAUGCAAGUCGAGCGGAUGAAGGGAGCUUGCUCCUGGAUUCAGCGGCGGACGGGUGAGUAAUGCCUAGGAAUCUGCCUGGUAGUGGGGGAUAACGUCCGGAAACGGGCGCUAAUACCGCGUACGUCCUGAGGGAGAAAGUGGGGGAUCUUCGGACCUCACGCUAUCAGAUGAGCCUAGGUCGGAUUAGCUAGUUGGUGGGGUAAAGGCCUACCAAGGCGACGAUCCGUAACUGGUCUGAGAGGAUGAUCAGUCACACUGGAACUGAGACACGGUCCAGACUCCUACGGGAGGCAGCAGUGGGGAAUAUUGGACAAUGGGCGAAAGCCUGAUCCAGCCAUGCCGCGUGUGUGAAGAAGGUCUUCGGAUUGUAAAGCACUUUAAGUUGGGAGGAAGGGCAGUAAGUUAAUACCUGGCUGUUUUGACGUUACCAACAGAAUAAGCACCGGCUAACUUCGU
rnacentral:rRNA from 1 species